ensembl:lncRNA
CCCCAACCGCCCUAACGCCCCGAACCGCAUCCUGACCCAGCCCCUUCGAGGCCGGUGGCCUGUCCCGCCUCUCUGCGCAGUAGGCGGAUCACCGCCGCUGAGCCCGCCGCCAAAACCGAGGUGUCCUCUUCUCACCGCCAGCAGGUCCUCUCGGGUCUCCGCACUGCAGCCUUCUGGCCCUUCCUGACCUUGCCGACUUCGGGGCGCCGGCGCCAGUGCCCUACCUCGGUCCUGCGCGUCUCAGACCUCUGCAGAGUAGCCAUGUCCACUCUACAGAUGGAGAAACAGAAGCCCAGAGCCCAGAAAAGCGCGCUCUAAAGACCCCUGAGAGUGGUCGCCAAAAGCAGGGACUGUAAGUGACUCUGGAAAGAUUAACACUUGAUCUCCUACAACAGAGGCAACUUCAGAAAGCCGGACACUGAACUUUUUCCCUGCAGGACCCUCAGUCCUUCAAGUCAUCCCUCUCCCAAAUCAUUUAGCGAAAGAUCUGGGAACAGCUCACCCCAAACCAAUGGAAUGAAAAAGCUUUGUUAAGAAGAGCGGCCUGCGGAAGUCCUGGCUGGCUUACAGGGUUUUAAUGCAUUGUUUGCACCUUUGUGUGUUUUCUUUUUGGCUCCUCUUUCUGUCUCCAGAGUUGGCUGCAGCUCCAAUCUCAUUGUCAAAUCCUGGUCUGCAAACUGAGACCUAUCAGGGGCCUUCAUGCCACAGGGCAAUAAUUCCUUAUGCUGGUGUUGCACUGAAGCUAGAAUCCUCGCAGCUGCAGCCUGUGCCUGCGUUUUAGAGGCCGCAUCAUGAAUAUAUGCACAAACAGACUCUUUCUGAGCCUAGUAAGGAGGACUGCUCUGACUCCAGCUCUUCUGGAAUAUUGUGUGUAGGAUGCAAGAUUUUAUUUCAGCCCUAAGUGGGGAUGAAGGGAGCAGUGCCUAUGCAUAAGAAAAGUCUGUACAGACUUCACUACUAAAGGUAAAAAGAAGAAAAAAAAUUGUCUGAAAGCUCCAGAGACGGUCCAGAGAAGAGUGAACCUACAUCAGAAGGGUUUCCACUCUCAUUAGUGGACAGGGUAAUUCAGACUUCCUCUAAGUGAAGGCAGCUUAAAAAGCUGGAUAAAAUAUUUUUAAGGUACAUAAAAAAUUCCAAGGGCUAGUGAGGAAUUGCUGGGCCAAAAUUUGGGAAAGGGAUCUAUAGAGGUGAGCCUGGAACUUGGGGCUGAUUCUGUCUGGAGACAUUUGUUUAUCCUGCAGGUUGCUGAGAUUCCAAGCUGCAUUUUUGGCAGCCUUCAAAGGGUUAAGGAACUAGAAAUGGAGUUUCCGGCCUCCAAAAUCACAGGUGUUGAACCUGUUUAAGGGUACACUAGACUGCUAGUGUCAAAAAAGAAAACCCUUUUGGGAAGAAGCUAUCAUCAUCUAGGCCUUGAAUUAUUUCUACAAAUACUUUUUUAAAUAUGUCUAGCACACAAGCAAAAAUACCCAGUCAUCAGAGAGACAAGAGACCACCAGUAAAAAAAGCAGAAACAGACAAUACAAUCAGAUCCAUGGAGAUUUCAGACACUGGGAUUAUGGGACACAGACUGUAUGACGACUAUGGAUAUGCUACCUUCAAAGAAAUAAAAGCCAAGCUUGAAAGAUCCGGCAGAGAACUAGAAAUUAUAACAAAUGGCAUUGCAGAUUUGAAAAAAGAAAAAAAAAGGAAAUUUUAGACUGAGCGAUGGGCACUAAAGUUAUAAAGUCAUAGAAACUCAAGUAUGGUGUCUUGUUGGUCCAGGAGGAAAGAUCAGAGACACCUGGAGAGGGUAGUUUCCUAUUUCCAGUUCAGCUUUUUGCCAUGACAAAAUGAUUAAAAAAAAU